rnacentral:rRNA from 1 species
AUUGAACGCUGGCGGCAGGCUUAACACAUGCAAGUCGAGCGAGCGGCGGACGGGUGAGUAAUGUCUGGGAAACUGCCUGACGGAGGGGGAUAACUACUGGAAACGGUAGAUAAUACCGCAUACCAUCAGAUGUGCCCAGAGUGGAUUAGCUAGUAGGUGGGGUAAUGGCUCACUUAGGCGACGCUGCCUAGCUGGUCUGAGAGGAUGACCAGCCACACUGGGACUGAGACACGGUCCAGACUCCUACGGGAGGCAGCAGUGGGGAAUAUUCCACAAUGGGCGCAAGCCGGAUGCAGCCAUGCCGCGUGUGUGAAGAAGGCCUUCGGGUUGUAAAGCACUUUCAGCGAGGAGGCGUUACUCGCAGAAGAAGCACCGGCUAACUCCGUGCCAGCCGCCGCGGUAAUAC